CAUGUACCCUUGCCACACAAGUUAUAGCAGGAUGACAACAUUAUCCCACUGACUAUCCCAUACAUGACAAAAACAACCCAUUUCCAUCUUUUUCUUUUUGCUGCAACUGCGGCUUCUUCCCGCAACUUAUUAUUGCUUUCUAGUAAACCAUUAACCACUGUGAUACUCCGGCUCGUAAAUUGUGGGUCGUACCACCCAAAAUAAUUACAUGCGUUACUCCCCUGCAUCUGAAAGAUAAUAUAAAUUACACAUCAAAUAAUGUCAAUAUAUGAAUCAACAAGUUUAUAGUAGCCAGCUUUACCCUAUAUCUUGAACAACCAUAAAAUCUCCGACCCGGAUUAUUUUGUGUCCAAGAGGUCUUAAUCGUACAGGGCAAUCCACAGUGGCAGAGCGGUGUGGAUUGGUUGCUUCGACUGCUCGAAGUUGUAAAGCUUGAAUCCAUCUAACUUAUAAUAUUAUAACAAUAAGAAAUACGUACAAACCGACGCAAUAUUACGACAGAUAGUAAGCACAAAUAUUGAUUAUAAAUAUGGCACACACCAUCAAAUAAUUAAAAAACCUUAAAUGCCAGAGUUAUAUGCACAUAACAUCAAUAGCGGAGCUUAUUGUCUAAUAUAUACUAUUGUAGGUGGAGAAUCAACAAAAUCAUCAUCACUAUCACAACUAAUAUAUGUCCUAAUCAGUCGAGGUUCACUAUGCACAGUUCUCUUCGUUCGAUAUAUUAUACUGUUCUUUGGAGGUGGAUCAACAAAAUCGUCAUCGCUGUCACCGGUAUCAGAGAUUGUAGUUUUUGAAACCACGUUCACUCGUAAUUGAUUUACACUUGUACGCAAAGCACAUUUUCGGCCCGUACUUAAUAACUUGGAGUGCAAUUUUCUGUACAUGCUUUGAAACUCGACCUAC
rnacentral:lncRNA from 1 species